CGGGGAGGUAGUGACGAAAAAUAACGAUACGGGACUCAUCCGAGGCCCCGUAAUCGGAAUGAGUACACUUUAAAUCCUUUAACGAGGACCAAUUGGAGGGCAAGUCUGGUGCCAGCAGCCGCGGUAAUUCCAGCUCCAAUAGCGUAUAUUAAAGUUGUUGCGGUUAAAAAGCUCGUAGUUGAAUCUGUGUGUCACAGUGCUGGUUCACCGCUCGCGGUGUCUAACUGGCAUUAUGUGGUACGUCCUACCGGUGGGCUUAGCUCCUUGCGGGCGGUCCAACUAAUAUCCCAUCGCGGUGCUCUUCACUGAGUGUCGAGGUGGGCCGGUACGUUUACUUUGAACAAAUUAGAGUGCUUAAAGCAGGCUACCUUCGCCUGAAUAUUAUGUGCAUGGAAUAAUGGAAUAGGACCUCGGUUCUAUUUUGUUGGUUUUCGGAGCCCCGAGGUAAUGAUUAAUAGGGACAGAUGGGGGCAUUCGUAUUGCGACGUUAGAGGUGAAAUUCUUGGAUCGUCGCAAGACGGACAGAAGCGAAAGCAUUUGCCAAAAAUGUUUUCAUUAAUCAAGAACGAAAGUUAGAGGUUCGAAGGCGAUCAGAUACCGCCCUAGUUCUAACCAUAAACGAUGCCAGCUAGCGAUCCGCCGAAGUUCCUCCGAUGACUCGGCGGGCAGCUUCCGGGAAACCAAAGCUUUUGGGUUCCGGGGGAAGUAUGGUUGCAAAGCUGAAACUUAAAGGAAUUGACGGAAGGGCACCACCAGGAGUGGAGCCUGCGGCUUAAUUUGACUC
rnacentral:rRNA from 1 species